AGGGCGACGUGAAGGAGGCGAUGUAUGAUUUCUCCUGCCACAUUCUAAAAAUGUCCCCAAAGCGGGGCAGCUCUCAACACUCGGCUAGAGAACACAGGAUCCGAGGGGCUGCAGGAGCAAUGAAAGCCCACUCCCUGGAUGUGGUUAGCAAGAAGUAGAACGCAGGAACCAGAAAGCAAGAUUCCAAUUGCCUUUGUGGACCAGCAAAACCUAAUGCAGCAUGCCCACCAGAUGGAACCUUUGGAGCAGAGGAGAGCUGUGAUUUCAAAAGAGCAAGAGACUGGCCAGGAAAUGGCCUUGGGGGCUUUGAGGAUAUGGACCAUGAAUUUAGGGCAAUUUGGGACAUUUUCAUUAAAGGAGAAUGGCUUACACUUUAA